rnacentral:rRNA from 1 species
GACGAACCGUGCGAACGUUAUUCGGAAUCACUGGGCUUAAAGGGCGCGUAGGCGGGUUGCCAAGUCUGUGGUGAAAUCCUCCAGCUUGAACUGGAGAACGGCCGUGGAUACUGGCGACCUCGAGGGGGGUAGGGGCUUGCGGACUGUGCGUGGAGCGGUGAAAUGCGUUGAUAUGCACAGGAACUCCGGUGGCGAAGGCGGCGAGCUGGACCCUUUCUGACGCUGAGGCGCGAAAGCCAGGGGAGCGAACGGG